GCGUGUUAUAACGUUGUCCCGUCGCAUUACAUUCUUCGAUGACUCGACUCGUAAGAAGAAGAAGGAUCGAUGAUGCACACAUAGGUUAACUUCUUCUCAGUGAAUUCUUCUUUCAAACCUAACCAAUGCUUCCUCCUUCGAGAAAGGACGACGAGGAAGACGACGACACGAGUAACAAACUCCUGGGGGGUCCGAGAACGGGUGUCGGAUGGCGGCAGAGAUAAUGUUUCACGAUGAAAGACACGAGAAGAUACGAUCGAGUAGAGAAGAAAAUCUAGAAAAAGACAGAAAGAGAAAGAGAGAUGAUGAACUAACCGCUAACAAACACGAAGGACAAUGAUUACCACCGGCUCGGCGGGUGCUCUCACACCGACACGCGACUUCUGAUCCUUCACGCACGAUCCAACACCGUGUCUACACAACAGCUACUGCACCUGCAAUCAAGGAGCAUACGCAAACGUGCUUGGCUCGCGAUCGAACACGUACAGUGUGCUCGAUUAACAACAUUCUACAAAAUUCCAACUAUUUUUCAACAACAAUUAAUACAAAACAAAUCAAUAUUUAUCAGAAAAAUUACAAUACUCUUUUAUAUUUUUUAUAUCAUUUUUCUAACACCACGUAUUAACAUCAUUAAAGAUUAAA